CUCUGAAGAGAGAGUCAAAAGAUCGUGAAACCGCUCAGAGUAUAAGCCAAUGGAGCUUGGAAGGUUUCCGCAUAUCCCAGGCACCAUAAAUGAGGUGUUCUGCAUGCACUUAAGCAAGGUUCAUCAGGCGGAGCAUUGAGUUUGCCGCUUAGCUGACGUACGGGUUAUCGGUGUGGGGCCCGUUCUUUGGACCGAGGGUCACAGCCGGUAACUUGAGAAUGGGUGUUCAGAGCUUUUGUUGCAACUGCGGUAAUUGCCCACCACGGCACGUUGUGAGGUCACCUUGGGCUCAACUGCCGAUCGUAUCCCCGGGACGAUGGCAAGGGCGUAGUAGAGAGUUCUCACGGGCUCUCCUUCGCAUGUCUAGUUACUGGGAGGCGGCGACCGAGAUUAAACCUGGUAUGAUCCUCCCGCGACGAGUCGCUGUCUGGCCAGACCCACGUCUACAGCCUACCCUGUGCCGGUAACGUUGUGUCCCCAGGCGGUUGGUCCUGAUUAAUAGUUCAGGAUCUCCCUGCCGGGCGUGGUUGUCUGAGUGGUGUAAAAUCCAGCACCAUCGGUCACGUCUCGAAACACGGGCCAAGGAGUAUAGCAUGUGUGCAAGUCUAAGGGUAUCCCAAAACCCGGAGGCGAAGUGAAAGCGAGACCGAGGCGGGUGAGCUACGGCGAACCCGUCGGUUCGGGGCGACUAAUCGUUGCCCCCGCUUAUGUCAGAGCUGAUCCUGUUAUUACGGGUAAGUCCUUGUGCAGGCGCAAGCUCCGGGCUCACGUAUAACACUGGCAACGCCUCGUGCGUACGCUGUGUUGUGAGCACC
rnacentral:rRNA from 1 species